GCGUAAUAGCUGCGUACUGACGGAAUAGUACGUUGAAGUAAGAAGGCGUUGAAUCAGUAGGUAAAUCCGCUGAUGAGCUGAGUUACGAUAGUACAGAUUUUAGCUUGCUAAGAUUUGAUAAUGCUACCAAGCGAACUUCCAAGAAAAGUCUCUAAGCUUCAGGUAUAUAGAGCUCGUACCGUAAACCGACACAGGUAGUCGAGGAGAGUAUCCUAAGGCGCUCGAGUGAAUCGUGGCUAAGGAAUUAGGCAAAAUGGCCUCGUAACUUCGGGAGAAGAGGCUCUCAAAUUUAAAAGUGAGCCGCAGUGAAAAGGCCCAGGCGACUGUUUAGCAAAAACACAGGACUCUGCGAAAUCGAAAGAUGAAGUAUAGGGUCUGACACCUGCCCGGUGCUGGAAGGUUAAGGAAGGUGCUUAGCGCAAGCGAAGGUAUUGACUGAAGCCCCAGUAAACGGCGGCCGUAACGAUAACGGUCCUAAGGUAGCGAAAUUCCUUGUCGGGUAAGUUCCGACCUGCACGAAUGGUGUAACGAUCUGGGCACUGUCUCGGCCACGAGCUCGGUGAAAUUGAAGUAUCGGUGAAGAUGCCGGUUACCCGCAAUGGGACGAAAAGACCCCGUGCACCUUUACUAUAGCUUCACAUUGAGCUUGAGUAUAAGAUGUGUAGGAUAGGUGGGAGACGUUGAAGUGGUCACGCUAGUGGCUGUGGAGUCGCCGUUGAAAUACCACCCUUCUUAUGCUUAGGUUCUAAUCCUGUUGAAGACGGGAGACAUUGUGUGGUGGGUAGUUUGACUGGGGUGGUCGCCUCCAAAAGAGUAACGGAGGCUUGCAAAGGUUCCCUCAGCAUGGUCGGUAAUCAUGCGCAGAGCGUAUUAGUAUAAGGGAGCUUGACUGAGAGACCGACGGGUCGAACAGGUAGGAAACUAGGCUAAAGUGAUCCGGUGGUUCCGUAUGGAAGGGCCAUCGCUCAAAGGAUAAAAGGUACGCCGGGGAUAACAGGCUUAUCUCCCCCAAGAGCUCACAUCGACGGGGAGGUUUGGCACCUCGAUGUCGGCUCGUCACAUCCUGGGGCUGGAGAAGGUCCCAAGGAUUGGGCUGUUCGCCCAUUAAAGUGGCACGCGAGCUGGGUUCAGAACGUCGCAAGACAGUUCGGUCUCUAUCUAUUGUGGGCGUAGGAAUAUUGAGAAGAUCUGACACUAGUACGAGAGGACCGUGUUGGACAGACCUCUAGUGUACCAGUUAUGCCGCCAGGUGUACCGCUGGGUAGCUAUGUCUGGAACGGAUAAGCGCUGAAAGCAUCUAAGCGCGAAGCCAACUUCAAGAUGAGUAUUCCAUUGUCUUCGGACAAGAAGGGUUGUUGAAGAUGACGACGUUGAUAGGCUAUAGGUGGAAGUGCUGUGAAGUAUGGAGCCGAGUAGUACUAAUUACCCGAAAGCUUCCUAG
rnacentral:rRNA from 1 species